UCGGGAAUCUUGCACAAUGGGCGAAAGCCUGAUGCAGCAACACCGUGUGAGCGAUGAAGGUCUUCGGAUCGUAAAGCUCUGUUGUUAGGGACGAAGGGCGAAGGGUUAAUAGCCCUUAGCCUGACGGUACCUUUCGAGGAAGCCCCGGCUAACUACGUGCCAGCAGCCGCGGUAAUACGUAGGGGGCGAGCGUUGUCCGGAAUUAUUGGGCGUAAAGGGCGCGUAGGCGGCCUGGUAAGUCUGCUGUGAAACCUUGGGGCUCAACCCCAAGCGUGCAGUGGAUACUGUCAGGCUAGAGGAUGGUAGAGGCCAGUGGAAUUCCCAGUGUAGCGGUGAAAUGCGCAGAUAUCGGGAGGAACACCAGUAGCGAAGGCGGCUCGCUGGGCCAUUCCUGACGCUGAGACGCGAAAGCGUGGGGAGCAAACAGGAUUAGAUACCCCCGUAGUCC
rnacentral:rRNA from 1 species